rnacentral:rRNA from 1 species
AAUCAACGCUGGCGGCGUGCCUCAGACAUGCAAGUCGAACGAUUAAACUUCCCUUCGGGGAAGAUAUAAAGUGGCGCACGGGUGAGUAACACGUAAGUAAUCUACCUUCGAGUGGGGAAUAACAUCGGGAAACCGAUGCUAAUACCGCAUAACGCAGCGGCACCUUAUGGUGACAGUUGUUAAAGGAGCAAUUCGCUUGAAGAGGAGCUUGCGGCAGAUUAGCUAGUUGGUAAGGUAAUGGCUUACCAAGGCUUCGAUCUGUAUCCGGUCUAAGAGGACGGUCGGACACACUGACACUGAAUAACGGGUCAGACUCCUACGGGAGGCAGCAGUCGGGAAUUUUGGGCAAUGGGCGAAAGCCUGACCCAGCAACGCCGCGUGAAGGAUGAAGUAUUUCGGUAUGUAAACUUCGAAAGAAUGGGAAGAACUCAAAUGACGGUACCAUUUAUAAGCUCCGGCCAACUACGCGCCAGCAGCCGCGGUAAUACGUAGGGAGCAAGCGUUGUUCGGAUUUACG